rnacentral:rRNA from 1 species
UACGUAGGUGGCAAGCGUUGUCCGGAUUUACUGGGCGUAAAGAGCGCGCAGGCGGUCGUUCAAGUCGCGUGUGAAAGCCCCCGGCUCAACUGGGGAGGGUCACGCGAUACUGAUCGACUCGAAGGCAGGAGAGGGUAGUGGAAUUCCCGGUGUAGUGGUGAAAUGCGUAGAUAUCGGGAAGAACACCGGUGGCGAAGGCGGGUCUCUGGACCGGUACUGACGCUGAUGCGCGAAAGCGUGGGGAGCAAACGGG